rnacentral:lncRNA from 1 species
CUCUCUUACUCUUUCUCUUACUCUCUUACUCUCCUUCCCUUGUCUCUCUCUUGCUCUCUUGCUCUCCCCCUCUCCGCAUCCCCCCCACACACACACACAUGUCAAUGGCCAGCCUACCAUAAAUGCCUACAAACCAUCCCAACCACUUUCACCGCUGCCAAGCUGCCGCCCAGGCAAGCCAAGGAUUCUCCUCCCCAUGGGAACCAGCUGGAGCUCUCUCCUCCUGUCCUUUCACCUGAGGCCCUGAGCUAGAGCCAGCCCUGUGGGUCCCCAACUCUGUUCUCAGCUCUUCUGCCAGCAUCCAGUGGUGUGUGUGGUGCCCAAGAGCUAGAAACUGCUAUUCCUGCCCUCUGUGUAUGCCUGGAGGCCUGAGCCAAUUCUGGCAGGUUUUUCUGCAGCCUGAGCCAAAGGUUUCACAUGGAGACUGAAAAAGAGAGAUGAUAUGGGCAGUAUGUGCAAUCAAGGAUUUGUGCUCAUGAAGCUCGGACUAAUAGGAUGACUCCACCGGAAGAGAAGAGCUACAUCACCACAGCCUCACUCAGUACCCUCAACCCUGCAAACUAAAGAGAGAUACAUAGGGGAUUGAGGUGUGUCAUAUUCCCCGCUGCUGCCUGAAGAUCAAUAUGUAAAACACUCAGCUCCUUCUCCAGUAUCAUAUCUACCUGCAUUCCACCUUGCUUC